GGGUUGGUUAGUCCGCACGAGCGCACCCCUUAUCCUUAUUUGCCAGCACGUAAUGGUGGGAACUCUAGGGAGACUGCCGGUGAUAAACCGGAGGAAGGUGGGGACGACGUCAAGUCAUCAUGGCCCUUACGAGUAGGGCUACACACGUGCUACAAUGGCGUAUACAGAGGGUUGCAAAGCCGCGAGGUGGAGCUAAUCUCACAAAGUACGUCGUAGUCCGGAUCGGAGUCUGCAACUCGACUCCGUGAAGUCGGAAUCGCUAGUAAUCGUGGAUCAGAAUGCCACGGUGAAUACGUUCCCGGGCCUUGUACACACCGCCCGUCACACCAUGGGAGUGGGCUGCAAAAGAAGUGGGUAGUUUAACCUUCGGGAGAACGCUCACCACUUUGUGGUUCAUGACUGGGGUGAAGUCGUAACAAGGUAGCCCUAGGGGAACCUGGGGCUGGAUCACCUCCUU
rnacentral:rRNA from 1 species